rnacentral:rRNA from 1 species
GACGAACGCUGGCGGCGUGCCUAAUACAUGCAAGUCGAACGCUGAAGGAGGAGCUUGCUCUUCUGGAUGAGUUGCGAACGGGUGAGUAACGCGUAGGUAACCUGCCUGGUAGCGGGGGAUAACUAUUGGAAACGAUAGCUAAUACCGCAUAAGAGUAGAUGUUGCAUGACAUUUGCUUAAAAGGUGCAAUUGCAUCACUACCAGAUGGACCUGCGUUGUAUUAGCUAGUUGGUGGGGUAACGGCUCACCAAGGCGACGAUACAUAGCCGACCUGAGAGGGUGAUCGGCCACACUGGGACUGAGACACGGCCCAGACUCCUACGGGAGGCAGCAGUAGGGAAUCUUCGGCAAUGGACGGAAGUCUGACCGAGCAACGCCGCGUGAGUGAAGAAGGUUUUCGGAUCGUAAAGCUCUGUUGUAAGAGAAGAACGAGUGUGAGAGUGGAAAGUUCACACUGUGACGGUAGCUUACCAGAAAGGGACGGCUAACUACGUG